rnacentral:rRNA from 1 species
CAGCCGCCGCGGUAAUACCAGCUCUCCGAGUAGUAGGGAUGAUUAUUGGGCUUAAAGCGUCCGUAGCCGGCCCGACAAGUCUUCCGUUAAAUCCACCGAUUCAAUCGUUGGACUGCGAGAGAUACUGUUGGGCUAGGGGGCGGGAGAGGCUGACGGUAUUCUCGGGGUAGGGGUAAAUCCCUAUAAUCCCGGAAAGACCACCAGUGGCGAAGGCGGUCGGCUAGAACGCGCUCGACGGUGAUGGACGAAAGCUGGGGGAGCGAACCGGAUUAGAUACCCGGGUAGUCCCAGCUGUAAACGAUGCGGGCCAGGUGUUGGGGCGGCUACGAGCCGCUUCAGUGCCGCAGGGAAACCAUUAAGCCCGCCGCCUGGGGAGUACGGCCGCAAGGCUGAAACUUAAAGGAAUUGGCGGGGGAGCACCACAAGGCGUGAAGCUUGCGGUUUAAUUGGAGUCAACGCCGGGAAACUUACCGGGGGCGACAGCAGGAUGAAGGCCAGGUUGAAGGUCUUGCUGGACGAGCUGAGAGGAGGUGCAUGGCCGUCGCCAGUUCGUGCCGUGAGGUGUCCUGCUAAGUCAGGCAACGAUCGAGACCCACGCCCCCUGUUGCCACCAAGGAGGUUUCUCCAAGGGGCACUCUGGGGGACUGCCGUCGACAAGACGGAGGAAGGAGUGGGCCACGGCAGGUCAGUAUGCCCCGAAUCCCCCGGGCCACACGCGAGCUGCAAUGACUGGGACAAUGGGUUCCAACCCCGAAAGGGGAAGGUAAUCCCUAAACCCAGCCGUAGUUGGGACCGAGGGCUGAAACUCGCCCUCGCGAACAUGGAAUGCCUAGUAAUCGCGCGUCAUCAUCGCGCGGUGAAUACGUCCCCGCUCCUUGCACACACCGCCCGU